rnacentral:rRNA from 1 species
GGUUCGAUUCUGGGUCUAGAUUGAACGCUGGCGGGACAGUUUUUUUUGUUACAUGCAAGUCGAACGGCAGCAUCGACUUCUGGUCUGCAGAAGGCGGAGUGGCGAACGGGUGAGUAAUGUAUCGUGAACGUGCCUAGUAAAGUGUGGUAACUACGCGAAAGCGUAGCUACUACCGCAUACGCCCUUCGGGGAAAGUGGGGACCCGGGCCUCGCAUUAUUAGGCGGCUGAUAUCGGAUUAGCUAGUUGCGGGGUAACGGCUCACCAAGGCGACGAUCCGUAGCUGGUUUCCAGAGGACGACCAGCCACACUGGACUGAGACAUCGGCCCAGACUCUACGGGAGCAGCAGUGGGAAUUUUGGGAUAAUGGGGAAACCCUGAUCCAGCCAUCCUGCGGGCGAUGGGGGACCCUCGAAGCAAAGCACUUUUUGGCAGGAAGAAAACGGCACGGAGAAGACCCGUGCAAUUGACGGUACCUGCAGAAUGGGCACCGGCUAACUACGUGCCAGCAGCCGCAAGCGGUAAUACGUAGGUGCAAGCGUUAAUCGGACUAUCAUGCAGCGUGCGCGCAGGUGUUCCAGAAAUAUGUAAAUCCCAGAGCUUAACUUUGGAACUGCAUUUUUUAACUACCGAGCUAGAGUGUGUCAGAGGGAGGUGAAUUCCGCGUGUAGCAGAAAUGCGUGGAUAUGUGGAGGAACACCAUGGCGAAGGCAGCCUCCCUGGGAGAUGCAUUCGUCCUAUGCACGAGCGGGGAGCAAACAGGAUUAGAUACUCCUGGUAGUCCACGCGCCCUAAACGAUGUCAACUAGCUGCUAGCCUUCUGGCCUCGUAGCGCAGCUAACGCAGGAAGACCGUACUUGGGGAGUACGGUCAAAAAGAUUGAAAACCAAAGGAAUUGAUUGGGACCCGCACAAGCGGUGGAUGUAUGGACGAACGAUGCAACGAAAAACCUACCUACCCUUUACAUGUGUUCUGGAAUCCAGUGAUCGGGAGUGCUCGCAAGAGAACUGGAACACAGGUGCCGCACGGCUGUCGUCAGCUCGCCGUGAGAUGUUGGGUUAAGUCCCGCAACGAGCGCAACCCUUGUCAUUAGUUGCUACGAUGGGCACUCGCAUCGACUGCCGGUGACAAACCGGAGGAAGGUGGGGAUGAUGUCAAGUCCUCGCGGCCCUUAUGGUAGGGCUUCACAUCGUCAUAACGGGCCGGGAUGAGGGCUUUCGCCAACCCGCGAGGGGGAGUCAAUCCCAGAAACCUGAUCGUAGUCCGGAUCGCAGUCUGCAACUCGGACUGCGUGAAGUCGGAAUCGCCAGUAAUCGCGGAUCAGCAUGUCGCGGGUGAAUACGUCUGGUCUUGCGGGCUGCUUUCACCUCGCCCGUCACACCAUGGGAGGUUUUACCAGAAGUAGUUGUUUCAACUGUAAGGAGGGCGAUUACCACGGUAGGAUUCAGUGACUGGGGUGGAAGUCGUAACAAGGUAG